rnacentral:rRNA from 1 species
UACGAAGGGGGCUAGCGUUGUUCGGAAUUACUGGGCGUAAAGCGCAUGUAGGCGGAUAUUUAAGUCAGGGGUGAAAUCCUGCAGCUCAACUGCGGAACUGCCUUUGAUACUGGGUAUCUUGAGUAUGGAAGAGGUGAGUGGAAUUCCGAGUGUAGAGGUGAAAUUCGUAGAUAUUCGGAGGAACACCAGUGGCGAAGGCGGCUCACUGGUCCAUUACUGACGCUGAGGUGCGAAAGCGUGGGGAGCAAACAGG